UGCUGCCCUCAGAGUUCACAGGUGAGGGAGAGUCAGCUCCGAGAGGAUACUUGGGCAACUACAGGGACGCAACUAAGCAGGAUCUGAACCCAGCCCCCUUGAUCUCCAGCCCUCAGUGGAUAUGGCCAAGCCACAGUUCUAGAAAUGGUGGCUCUUGGAGGAACUGGGUCAGGAUUUCAGCCUGGGCAUUCUGAUUCCAGAGGCUGCUGAUCUUCUGGACACCCACCACCACCACCACCACCACCACCACCACCAUGCCUCCCUGUGGCUCCCACUAGAACAAGGACAGCAGAGGAGACUGAAGGAGAGGAGACACGGAGGUCAAGGAUGCAGAUUUUCCAUCCAGCUCAAAAGAAAAUAUGAGGCGGGACUGACACCCUUAUCUCUGUGGCCAGAGAAGGACACUGGAGCCAGACAGGCCUCAAGCAGCAUCCAGUGUGUGGAAUGAGUGCCCGAGGGGUGGCCUCUGCCCAUCUCUUUUCCGGCUUUCUGAUAACCCCACAUUGAAUCUAGGUGAAGAGUAAGCCAGAUGAAGGACUCUCAUCAGACACCUCGGAGAACCAACCUAAGAAACAUUUGGACCAGAAAGCUCCAGGCUGGGGGUGAUGGCCGUGAUGAAAGAUUAAGGGCUCCUGGGACAAGUGCUCCUCAUUCUUGAGACGGAUACUCAGAAGGUACCAUACCCUGAGAGCACCUGCUCCUUAGGGGCACUGUCAGUUAGGGGCUGGGUGGGGCAGGCUGGGGUCUGGCAAUUAUGAUACCCAAGAUGGAUCACAGAGCAUCGCCCAGGAUCAAAGCUCUAGAUUCUGAAACCAGGAGCCUGACCCUGAGCCAGGUACUUAAUUGAUCCUAUCUCAAUGCUCUCCCAGCUGACUCCCACACAGGUUGUACUGAACACACUGCAGGGAAGGAGAACCCCCUUGAAGAGAUCAACUACAGCCCUGCAAA
ensembl:processed_transcript 4631405J19Rik RIKEN cDNA 4631405J19 gene